GAAUGUAUGUGAAUUUGAGUAAUGAAGGGUGUGUCUGAUGAUGUUUUUUAAAACUAAUUUUAAAAACAGUUUUUGAUAAAUUUUAAUUUUAUUUUUAAAUUUGAAAUGUUUUUAAUCAAAUAUUUUUUUAAAAUAAAUUUUAUAUAUAGUCCCAAACCCAACGUACUUCGAACCGGUUUGGUUGGAUGGGUUCAACCUGGCAAGUUGCAACCCUAAUUGAUAUAAUAAUUUAAUAAUUAACGAACUCAUUUAAAUUGAUAGCCUUUGCCCCUUGGCCGGGAGAGUUGGGAGUUUCAGGGAGUUGGGCAGAACGACCUCGUUGGAUUCUUGGAUGAAAGAUCCUGUGGUUGAAAUUGAAGCCGUAGCCGCCGCAGGAGAGAAUACAGUAUCUAGAAGCUAGCAACCUCGCUUGAGUUGCCGUGGGAAUGAAGGAAGCAAAGCAGAAGAAGAACGUUCCUGUCCUCCCAUGGAUGAGAAGCCCUAUUGAUGUCAGUCUCUUCGAAGAGUGUCCUCUCCAUCUCUUUCCAUGUCUCGACCCCAGGUUGGAGGUGGCUUUGAAGAACAUGGGCUUCUCAUCACUCUUUCCAGUGCAGGUUGCAGUUUGGCAAGAGACAGUUGGACCUGGUGCUUUUGAGCGAGACCUUUGUAUAAACUCACCAACCGGAAGUGGGAAAACUUUAGCUUAUGCUUUGCCAAUAGUGAACGUGCUGUCAAGUCGUGCUGUUAAGUGUCUACGUGCCUUAGUGGUGUUGCCUACUCGUGAUUUGGCGUUGCAGGUUAAAGAAGUUUUUGCUGCUAUUGCACCUGCAGUGGGCUUAUCCGUUGGCCUGGCAGUUGGUCAAACUUCAAUUGCUGAUGAAAUUUCAGAACUUAUUAAAAGACCUAAGCUUGAGGCAGGGAUCUGUUAUGACCCAGAAGAUAUUUCACUGGAAUUACAAAGUUCAGUAGACAUAUUGGUGGCAACACCUGGAAGGCUGAUGGACCAUAUCAAUACCACUAAGGGUUUUACACUUAAGCAUCUUCGUUAUCUUGUUGUUGAUGAAACAGAUAGAUUACUCAGGGAGGCAUAUCAGUCCUGGCUACCUACCGUUCUCCAGUUGACUCGCUCUAGUGAUGAAAGCCUGUUCCCUUGUGGCAAGACCAUUCUUCCUUCUACAUUUGGUUCCAUGAACACCAUAAGGAGAUGUGGUGUUGAAAGGGGGUUUAAGGGUAGAUCUUACCCUAGGCUUGUGAAAAUCGUACUAUCUGCCACACUAACUCAAGAUCCAAGCAAGCUUGCUCUGCUUGAUCUGCAUCAUCCUUUGCUUUUGACGGCAGGGCAAAGGCGUUAUCAGCUCCCAGAAAAACUAAAAUCUUUUAAGCUGAUUUGUGAAUCUAAACUUAAACCCCUGUAUUUGGUUGCCCUUCUAAGGGAUUUAGGAGGGGAGAAAUGCAUUGUUUUCACAUCAUCUGUAGAGUCAGCUCAUCGGCUAUGUACCUUACUGAAUUUUUUUGGUGAUUUGCAAAUCAAGAUUGGGGAGUAUUCAGGUCUUCAACAUCAACGUGUGAGAAGCAAGACUUUGGAGGAGUUCCGUGGAGGGAAAAUACAAGUACUGAUUUCCUCUGAUGGAAUGACCCGUGGAAUGGAUGUCGAAGGGGUGAGAAAUGUUAUUAAUUAUGAUGUGCCUAAAUUUAUCAAGACGUAUAUACAUCGGGCUGGUCGGACUGCAAGAGCAGGCCAGACUGGUCGUUGCUUCACACUACUGCGUAAAGAUGAGGAUAAGCGUUUCAAGCAGCUGUUGCAGAAAGCUGACAGCGACUCAUGUCCUGUUCACUCUGUUGCUUCAAAUUCAAUUGAGGCACUUCACUCUGUUUACGUUUCUGCAUUGGAGAAACUGAAAGAGACAGUUGUAUCAGAAACAACCAGGAAGCGCAAAAUCAAUUUCAAGUCUUCAGGAGCAGAUAAAAGAAAACAAGAAAAGCACUUGAAGGAAUAGUUUGUUUCAUAAGCAGGAAGUCUUCCUGUAAUGAAGUCCAUUUUGCAGGACAUAGGAGUGAUGAAUUGGGGUGGUGCAACCUCCAUAGCAAACCUAGCAACUCGAGAACUUGCCAUGAGGUUGGGUACUGGAAGAUAAUAGGAAGAGAAGAGGUGAAAAGAGAACUGCAGCAGGAGAAGAGAUUGGGAAGGCAAGAAAGCAGUUAUGGAUGAGCAAGAAGCAUGCACCAUUUGGGUACGAUUUAUAAGUAAAUUUUUUGGCUGAAAAUAAUUCACGAGUCAUGGUCAAUUAGUAUUAAUCAUUCUUAGCAGGUAGUGCCGCCUCUUGCUUUUGGUAUUAAUUGUUGGGACCACAGGAAAUGCAAUGUGUCAACUUAUGGCUGUACCAAAAGGUACCUUACAUACAGGUGUGUCCUUUGUUUGGAUCGAUUUCUCCCA